UACAGAGGGUGCAAGCGUUAAUCGGAGUUACUGGGCGUAAAGGGCGCGUAGGCGGUCAUGCAAGUGAGAUGUGAAAUCCCCGGGCUUAACCUGGGAACUGCAUUUGUGACUGCAUGGCUAGAGUUUGGCAGAGGGGGGUAGAAUUCCACGUGUAGCAGUGAAAUGCGUAGAUAUGUGGAGGAACACCGAUGGCGAAGGCAGCCCCCUGGGUCAAGACUGACGCUCAUGCACGAAAGCGUGGGGAGCAAACAGG
rnacentral:rRNA from 1 species